GGCUUUAUAUUCAUCAAUGAUAUUAGACUGCAAUUCUAAAGGAGUAAAAAAGUUUUUACUAAAGCUU
rnacentral:tRNA from 1 species